rnacentral:lncRNA from 12 species
UGCACAGUGCCUCCCCUUGGUGAGACCACAGCGUUCAGUCCUGAUCAAAGGGCUGCAGCACUGAGUUUGAGAUGAACUGCACAGUGGUGUGAUCCCUGCUACUGAGGAAAAGGACUGCAGCAUGAUCUAUGUGCCAGGAGAGAUGAACUGAGGAGAAUCAUGAACAAUAGAAUCAUUCCAAGAUUCCUAAACUUAUGGAAAUUGAUGUUCAAGGUGGAGAGGACAUUCCCUGUUAAAUCAGUCCUGGCACACAGCACGCAAUGGUGUGCGGAGCCAACCACAGCAGAAGGAUGCCUGAAAGUGUUAAGAAAUUCGAACAUCAAAUCUAUCCAGGUCUCCAAAAGAGCAUGAGAUGAAGAACCAGACCGGUGGCCACCUAUCCUACCCAAGGCCACCUAACGAGUUCCCUCUGCGAGCCUUGACUUGCCCUGACACUGCUGUCUCUGAGCACCUCCAGGAAGUGAGCUCCAUCCAUCGCCAUCUGUCUGGUCUCUCACUCACCAGAAUGAGAAAGAUUGAUGUCCAGCACAACAAAGUGAAAACUCAGCUUGAGCCAGGAAGGCAGCGUGAGAGCAACUAGAUAUUAUGAGCAGCAGAUAAGCCUGCAAGAUGGGACCAGAGUGAUGAAGCUCCUGUGUGUGCUUCCCAGAAGAGGCAAAACUUGGAUUCUCCAAGUGAGAUGGAUCUGAGAGUACAAUAACAAGAGUAUUUUAUUUAGUUGGUCCUUAUUUAGUCAGUCUUAAUUACUUUUGAACUGGUGUCCUGUAGAAUGGCAUUUUUCAACCUGUGGUCUGCAGAUUCCUGGUAGAACAUGGACUCUUCUCAAGGAGGGUGAAAAAAAGCAAUUUCACCAAUGCCCUCCAGUGGUUAGGGCUUGUGAAUUUUCUAGGGGGUUGCUGAGCCUUCUUGAGAGAUUUUCUAGGGAUCCACAAAUCAAAGCAAGUUGAAAGACACUACAGCAGGAUAAUGUUAUAUUGAUUGCUUUGUUUUUGCAGAGGAUAGAUUUUGUUUAAUCUUCCCCUUCCUUAUAUUGCUUGACACCAUUAGUGUUAUCUUAAAU